rnacentral:rRNA from 1 species
CCUACGGGCGGCAGCAGUAGGGAAUAUUGCUCAAUGGGGGAAACCCUGAAGCAGCAACGCCGCGUGGAGGAUGAAGGUUUUCGGAUUGUAAACUCCUUUUGUUAGAGAAGAUAAUGACGGUAUCUAACGAAUAAGCACCGUCUAACUCCGUGCCAGCAGCCGCGGUAAUACGGAGGGUGCAAGCGUUACUCGGAAUCACUGGGCGUAAAGCGCGCGUAGGCGGGAUAGCAAGUCAGAUGUGAAAUCCUAUGGCUUAACCAUAGAACUGCAUUUGAAACUGUUAGUCUAGAGUAUGGGAGAGGUAGGUGGAAUUCUUGGUGUAGGGGUAAAAUCCGUAGAGAUCAAGAGGAAUACUCAUUGCGAAGGCGACCUGCUAGAACAUAACUGACGCUGAUGCGCGAAAGCGUGGGGAGCAAACAGGAUUAGAUACCCUAGUAGUC